UUUUGUGUCAUCUUUGGUUUUGCAAUUUGUGUCGGUAGCGUGGCCCAAGCAGAGGGUCACCCCUUUGAGUCUGGUCUGCUUGAGGUUUCUUCCUCAGAG